rnacentral:rRNA from 1 species
AGAGUUUGAUCCUGGCUCAGGACGAACGCUGGCGGCGUGCUUAACACAUGCAAGUCGAACAGAAAGGCCCUGCUUUUGUGGGGUGCUCGAGUGGCGAACGGGUGAGUAACACGUGAGUAACCUGCCCUUGACUUUGGGAUAACUUCAGGAAACUGGGGCUAAUACCGGAUAGGAGCUCCUGCUGCAUGGUGGGGGUUGGAAAGUUUCGGCGGUUGGGGAUGGACUCGCGGCUUACCAGCUUGUUGGUGGGGUAGUGGCUUACCAAGGCUUUGACGGGUA